GGCUUGAGUUCCUACCAUGGCUUUCUUCAGGAAUGGACUCUUACCUGGAAGUGUAAGAUGAAAUAAACCCUUUCCUCCCCAAGUUGCUUUGGUGAUGGUGUUUCAUUCCAGCAAUAGAAACUCUAACGGAGACAGUUUAGACAGAACAGGGAGCGGACAGACCCGCAGCUCUAGGUAAACAUGCUCAGGAUUGGCCUUGAACAUAUCUAAGCAGCCUGGACGGGUCAGCCAGAGGGAGGUUCCUGCUGCCUGAAGAAAGUUCCACCUGGCCUCUGUCUCAGGUCAGAAAGGGCUAAGAACCAUGCUCAGCAGGCAGGAGGUUCUCAGUACACAUUUGUUGCAUCAACAAACUGGUAAGA
rnacentral:lncRNA from 1 species